AUAAACGGUUUUUUCAUGAAAUGCCCCUGAGGUUUGCAAUAAUGCACCAAAUACCCCUGCGCGUUUCAAAAUUCAUAGAAUACCCCUAUUUUUCCGUACUGUUCAUUAAAUGCACCUGUACUUAACGGACGUUAGCCUGCCGUUAGCUGUGUUUUACCAUUCUACCCUUAAUUCAUAUUUGGGGCUAUUAAGGAUGAAAAACCCUAAAGAAAAUCAAAAAAAAAAAAAGAAUCUCAAUCUUCUUCGCUUUCUCUCUCAUCUCCCCUGUUCUUCUUCCUUGAAUUCUACUCAAACGCUACAAAAUCUGGGUGUUCUUUGGGUGAAUUCGGGACAAAAAGGGGAUAUUUGAAGCGAUUUCGAUCUCACCCCCAAUUCAUCAAUGGCAGAUUCACCUCAAAUUACUCAGAAACACAAGGCUCCAUGAGGGUUCGAUCUCACCCCCAAUUCAUCAACAGCCAUUGAUCUUCUUCCAGUGAUUUGGUGGUGCAAGUGGUGGGAAGUCCGACGAAUCCACCAUUGUCGCCGACGAAGGUUGAAGGCUGGCCAAUUCCGCAAACUCCAAGAAGAGGAAGGAACCCGAGAAGUUGCAGAAGGUUGAAGAAGUGGGUCCUGUUUGGUGGGUUGAAACCUCCAAGAACAUCUCCCUUCAUUUUCAAUUCGAUCCAGAUGUUUCUGAUAGUUUUGCUUAUGAGGGUGCAGUACUGAACGAACUAAAGCAGUGGAAGGAGCUCUAUGGAGAAGGAGGGUCAAGAAAUGAGCAACUUACUUACUUCUUAUAGGAAGGUGGUAUGGAGAAGGCGGGUCAAGAAAGAAGGAUCAGUUGUAAGAGAACUCUGAGUCCUCUUUGGCAAUAGAUACAUAUCAUAAGGCACUGAAGGAAGCUUAUGUAAUUUGUAUUUCUUGUUAAACACUUUUGGUGGGCGAGUGGGAAAAAGCGAGUUUUAGAUAUAGAUGCAACGAGGGCUUACAUAUAUCUACUUAUACCGUAUUCUGUAUUAAGAGUUUGCUCAUGUUGUAUAAGAAAAAUAAAGCCUAAUUUAACUUACAAUUAA